AAUCCCUCGUGCAACUGACGUGGAAUGAGAAAUCACGUGGAGAAAUUAUUCCUAUCUAUUUUUAUCACAUUUAUUGAUUAUUAAUGAUUUAUGUCAUUUUCGCUCUUUGCCCUAUGAUACUAAACCAUACAGCUAUAGGUGAAAAUAACUUGAUUUUCAGAUAAAAUUGUCUGCCAAGGCUGAAGGUCCAAUUUACAGUGGCAUAGCGACGAAGAAGCGUCUCAUUCGUAAGAGAAUCACACAGUAGCCGGUGGACCGUGGAGUUGGGAUAGUAUACUUUAUUGUGGAAUGAGGAAUAUCGGGGUGAUUUUCUUGUGCGGUUUCUAUGUGCGCAGUUAACGCGUAUGAAAACAAAAGCAUUCAAGUUCUGAACUGCACACCCAAAAACUAGCGAUAGAUACCGAACGAAGCGCAGGUCAAUUAAAGAUGAUGCGCAUAAAGGACUGUAGUACCACUGGAUUUUUCUUGUAAACAUUGGAUUUAAACAAUAUUGCAUUUAUACAUUUACUGAUUAAACACUUCCGCUGUUUGGUGUAAUAUGUAACUCCAUAUCGGUUCCAUCGGGUCAUAGCGGUUACAUUGUAUAAAUCGAUUUGAUCGCAUUGAUUAGUAACAAGAUGUGCAGAUAGUUUAUGUAUAAAUUGAUAUCAUCCAAAAGUCCAAAAGAACUCUGAAUAAACACGAGGCAAAUGAUAAGCGAAAAUAUGGUGGAUCAAAGCCUAAGAUAGUGUUUAUAAAGUCACGCAUUGCGUGAAGGAAACACAGCGAGAUUAAAAGUGUUUGUUUCCGCAAAUUGAAUAAAAAAAAAGCUAAUUAUUUUGAUAUCUAUAUCACUGAGGGAACACGCUAGGUCCGACUGUAGUAAUUCGGUGAUAAGAGGCGAAGUGGUGAACAUCUUGCACGCUCUCACUGACUCUGUUGGCGCUCCAAGGAGUUGGUUGUUUGAAGAUUUGUCCAGUGUUGUGUAGUGAAAUGGCGGCUUUCUGUAUU